rnacentral:misc_RNA from 1 species
CGUGGUCGCCAUACUGCUACUCGUCCUGCUGCUGCUGCUAUCCUUGGUGGCCGAGGUGCAGGGUGAUCCCAAAGCCUAGAGAGCACACACACACACACACACAUGCACACACCUUCUUCCCUCUCGCCGCUCCUCGCCCCUCCCCCCGCCCACAACCAUUCCGCUUCUUCUGAUGCGUUGAUGCUCGCGUUUGCUCGUUCCUUGUGUUGUGCAAGCUUUAGAAACAGCCACGCGCCUUCUAUAUAUUAUUAGCACCCGUUUCUCUCCCCCCGAAUUCAGGGCACCGUGGCGGCGUGCUAGACCGCGCCCAGAUAGAGAUAGACGCACACGCCGCGCGAGCACCGCAGCACACGGUAGUCUGACACGUGGCAUUCCCGUCUCUGCCUUUUCGUCUUUCUUCUCUUCUGCAGGAGGUGCCGCUGCAUUCUUUGAAGGCGGGGCAACUGUGAGUCGAAUGCCCAACCCACACUGCGGCAACGAAAAGGCGGCGGCCUUUGUCAACUACUACGCCUCCCCGAGCAUGGUGAACAGCUCCGUCAAUCGGCUCUACUAUGGCGGCCUGGAGCGCAAGAAGCGGGCAGAGGCACGUGCGAUGGAGGAGGCGUACCCCCCAACCCUGUCAGCUCGCCGCUCCCCCGCGCAGCUGGAGGCGUACCUGAACAACUGCGUGCAAGGCGAGUUGCUGCGCCGACAGCAGCACAGGGCGGCGCUGCAGCAGGAGCUGUACCCGGACGCCGAGGAGACGCCGCGCUUCCUCUCCAGCAAGGAGAUGACACAUCACAUCCACCACGUAUACGACGAACCGCUGAAGGUGCGCCGGGCACGGGAGGCAGAGCUGCGCCGCAUCUUCGGCACUGACAAGGACGCCGAGAAGGUCAAGAAGGAGACGGUUUACCAGUACCACCGUCUACCAGCGUCCUCUGCGCGCGCGAUCACAGAGUCAUCACCGAGGUCGGCCCCUUCGGCUUCUGGUAGCAACCGCGGCAACGUGGACGUCGACACAGUUGCCAACUACUGCAAGCAGCUAGAGAAAGGGUGGCGACCGCCGUCGGUGUCGGUCGACCACGACGACAAUCGGCGCCUGCUCGUGUCUCAGUACGACUACUACGCCGACCCUCGCAAGUACACGGAAUUGACGUUGAGGCAGCGGCCGCUGACGGCGAAGGAGCGGACAGCACUGCGGUCGCGGCUGGAGCUGCUGGCCCGCCCGACUCGCGUGAAUCCGCCUGUGGUGCCGAAUGAGGAGCAGGACGGCCCGCCGCCGUUCCGUGUGAGCCGCAAGAUUCGUUACAACGACUGAAAGAAGCACGUCUUUGCAUGUGUGUGUGUGAGUGUUGUGCACCCACUGUGGCGGUCGCUUGCAUUCACGUCCUGUGUCGGUGCGUUCUCUCUUUAUGUGUGCGUGUCUCUGCCGAGCGAACACGGAGGAGU